CUAAGUGUGAUUGUCUUGGCCUCUCAAAGUGAAUCUAAAUGUGUCUGAGCCAUACAGGUUGAGUCUAAGUGUGAUUGUCUUGGCCACUCAAAGUGAAUCUAAAUGUGUCUGGGCCACCCAGGUUGUGUAUAAGUGUGAUUGUCUUGGCCACUAAAAGUGAAUCUAAAUGUAUCUGGGCCACCCAGCUGGAGUCUAAGUGUGAUUGUCUUGGC